rnacentral:rRNA from 1 species
GACGUAGGGCGCGAGCGUUGUCCGGAAUUACUGGGCGUAAAGGGCUCGUAGGCGGCCAACUAAGUCAGACGUGAAAUCCCUCGGCUUAACCGGGGAACUGCGUCUGAUACUGGAUGGCUUGAGAUUGGGAGAGGGAUGCGGAAUUCCAGGUGUAGCGGUGAAAUGCGUAGAUAUCUGGAGGAACACCGGUGGCGAAGGCGGCAUCCUGGACCAACACUGACGCUGAGGAGCGAAAAGCCAGGGGGAGCAAAACGGGG